ensembl:lncRNA
CUUAUACAUAAAUGGAGCAAAUGUUGGUCAACCUAGGCAUUUGACUUUUAAGAAGGUUAAAGGAAAUAUGAUAAAGUUUCCAAAGGAAGUGGAAAAACCCAAACUACAAGCAACAGUCAGACUUUGACGGAAUAAAUGACUUCUUCCGGAAGAUGCAGAGACAAAGGGGAAACAAAAAACAAACAAACAAACAAACAAAAAACACUGGUAAUACUCCUCCCCCAUCAAAACACAAGCGACUUUUUCAAACAAGUAUUUGGAAAAAAUAGAUAAGUCAUUCAUUGCUGUAAAGGUCAAAAGACAGCUUCUGCCACAUCAUAUGGGAAAAGUUAAUUCCAGCAUUUUCGGGUAUGGAGGUCUCAUCUUACUUGCACAGUUUCUCUGUAUUUUAUUUCCAUUAUUUCUGUUUGUGUUGUUGUAUGAUUUGGAGAAAAG